GACCUCAUUUUCUUCGUCUCUCAUCCGGCACCUUAUAUCUCUCUUUACAUUUCUUUCUCUCUCUAUAUUCCUCUCCAUUCUCUCUAGAUUUCCUCUAGUUUGAGGAAGAUUUGAUCCGAGCAGAGAAGUUAUAGAUUGUGACAAGGGAUUCGUUUUGGUACCGGUGUUGCAUGCAUUUGGUGAGGUUUGAGUUUAGAAUUCUUGGCUUUGGAGUUGCAUUCUAGAGGUAGGGAUGUCUAAAUUAUUAAGUUUUGAUUAUUGUUGAGCUCUUUUGUUUGAUUUUUUGCUAAGUAAGUUUAUAAUGAUAAAUCUUGAAAUGAAGAUAUUGGUUGUGUAUUUAUGUAAAGAAAGUAUGUCCAAUGAUGAUGUUGGUUGUGUAUACAUAUACUUUGUUGCAAAGUUAUUUAAAGGGCAUGCCUUGUGAUAAUUUGUUUUCUUGAGGUUACAUAGAUAUACAUGAUGAUGAUGAUGACGACGACGACGACGACGAUGAUGAGCAUGGUUUCACAAAAUCAAUAGCAACUUCGUUCAAAUAAUUAAGGAAAAGAAGAUAAAAAUUAGAGGAAUACCAAGGGAAGGGACUCCAUUGGAGGAAGAAAGGAGGUGCACUACUACAACAGGAAAACCAAAAGGAGGGAGACAACGAAGAGAAGACGAAGAGGUCUUAAAUUUUAAAAUUUCUGACUUUUUGUUUCAGACCAAAAUGGUGGCAGCGCCUCCACCAACCACUUGGCACUGGACGUGCCAAGGAUUUGCUUGCCAAAGAGAGACUCCGGACUCCAGAGACAAACAUUCAUCCUCUGCUUAAAAAUGACGCUCACUCUUCCCAAGAAAGAUUUCCUCUAGUUUGAGGAAGAUUUGAGCCGAGCAGAGAAGUAAUAGAUCAUGACAAGGGCUUCGUUUUGGUACCGAUGUUGCAUGCAUUUGGCGAGGUUCGAGUUUGGAAUUUUUGACUUUGGAGUUGCAUUCUUGAGGUACAUGCAGAAGAUGUCAAGACGGUGACCAAACUGGUCCCUGGGAAAUGUUAGAGAAGUGCAGUAGCCCCUGUAUCUCAUGUGAUGUUUCUGGAAGGGGAGGACCAAGAGGUAUGUUAAGGGAGAGUAUGUUUCAUUGUAUAAGAAACAGCAACGUAUGUUGAGAUAUAUGCACUUCUAGAUGUCCAAGUCUUUCUUGUGUCUAUAAAUCCAUAUAUAAUUUUUGGAUGAGAUACUUUUAGGUUUCUGAUGGAUUGUUACUUGUCUGUCUUUGGACCUUAUUAGAAGAUUGCUCUACUCAUAACCAAAAGGGAGGAAAAGAGCAUUCAAAUUCAAAAAAAUUAAUUCGAUCAUUGUUCUACGUUGUCAUAUUGGUAUACAACAUUGUAAAUGACUAGGUGAUGUCAUUGUUAACUUUGUCCACAGCAUUGCCAACAAGAAGUCCCCAAACAGUAUUUUCAAGUUAACAAGGUGCAGAGAUGUGCUUCCAUAUAUUUGCAAGUCAGUUAUAUGUAACAGAAAUACGACAAAGAUUGACAUCCAGUUGGUCCCUGUCGUAUGGGUUACCUACGUCCAAUGCA